rnacentral:misc_RNA from 1 species
GAAAACUCCAGAGAAAAUCUCACCGCAAAAAAUGGCGUCCGCCGCAGCAAACAAACCUCUCAUAUGGGAUUGCGGCAGCUCACUCUACGACUCAUUUGAGUUGAAAUCAUUCGAACGUCAACUCGAUUCAGCCAUAUCUUCUCGAAGCCUCUCAAUGCCUCAUUUACCCGAUCGUCGUCUUCUUAUUCCACCGUCAACAACAGAUCCACAGCAAACUACUCAACCGAUUUCCAAAAAAACUUCUAGGAUCUCUAGAUCUUUCCAGAAACUUCUCAAAUCCGUUUUCAGAGCAAAACAGAGCAACAGUCCGCUGUUUCAGGGGCAAAAUCGAGAUGGAUUUUACGUCGUUUAUGAUAAAUCUGGUGCACUUACGACGAUUCCGGAAGGACCGGAGUACGACGGACUUUCGCCGGAGAUUAAGUCGUUGGUUAGAAGAACGGGUUCCGAACGGUUCACGGCGACUUCUAUUGGUAUUUCAUGUGCUUGAUAGAUAAUAUUGAUCUUAAUCUAAGUAAUUAGAAUAUUUAUGACUAAUAUGUAUAGCAAUAAUUUCUUUCAUCUUUUGGAAUAUUGUUGUUGCUAGUUUUUUGAACUCAAAAAUUUGAAGUUUUCAUGGCCUACAACGUAGAAUAAGUGACAUUAUUCCAUAACUUUUGGUUCGAGUUAUUGUUCUCAAAAACUAUAAAUAUCUUAAUUGUGAUU